UGAAUAUUUCUCUCUUUUUUGGCAUCUAUAUUUCUCUUCUUCUAUAAAUAGUGGCAGUUCCAUAUGUUCAAAUUAACCACAGCAAAUAAAAGCAUCAAAAGAAGAAGACAAAAAACAAAUUUCAAGUUUAAACCAAAGAGAAGUAAAAGAAGCAAUGGCAGGUUCUAACUGUGGAUGUGGUUCCGCUUGCAAAUGUGGUGACUCUUGCAGUUGCGAGAAGAACUACAAUACGGAGUGCGAUAACUGCAGCUGUGGAUCAAACUGCAGCUGCGGCGACAGCUGCAGCUGUUGAAGGAGUUCUGGUGUAAAUCACAUGCAUGCAUGAAAACUGGGGGAAAAGUGUGUAUGAUGUUAAGAGAUAUGUGUGUGUGUUUGAAUAAAGGUUUGGCAUGAUGUUGGCAUGAUGUUGCCUUGUUGCCUAAUAGCUCUCUUAACCUUGACUUUUUCUCUAUGUGUUUGGUGUUUAUUGUGUAAUGUUUUCAUUUGUAACGUAAGAAAAAAAAAAAUCUAUUGACUUUGUGAUUAUUAAAAUAUUAAGAUGUGUCUAAGCUU